AAGUGUUUUGGAUUCAAAUAUGACUUGAUGUCAUGUGUAUGAGUGAGUAUAAAGACUAUAACCGUUGCGGAUCUUAAAAGCCUAAGUAUUGUAUCCUUGUUAGAAGAUACAAAGAUAAAUACUCAUAUGCACUUCGGCUAAACCAUCAAAGCAUUGAGAAGCAAGAAGAAGCUUGGUUAGUGUUUUUGAGUGAAAUAUGACUAGAUGUCAUGUGUAUGAGGGAGUAUAACAACUAGAACCGCAAUUAGAUUUUUAAAGCCUAAGUAUUGUAUCCUUGUUAGAAGAUACAAACACAAACACUCAUACGGACUUCGUCAACACCAUUAAAACUUUGAGAACCAAGAAGAAGCUUGGUUAGUGUUUUGGAGUCGAAUAUGACUUGAUGUGAUGUGUAUGAUUGAGUAUCAGAACUUAAACCGCAAACAGAUCUUAAAAGCCUAAGUAGUGUUUCCUUGUUAGAAGAUACAAAGCCAAAACCUCAUACGGACUUUAGUUACACCAUCAAUGCCUUGAGAAUCAAGAAGAAGCUUAGUUAGUGUUUUGGAGUCAAAUAUUAUUAGAUGUCAUGUGUAUGAGUGAGUAUGACAACUAGAACCAUAACCGGACCAUAAAAUCCUAAGUAUUGAAUCUUUUUAAGAAGAUACAAAGACAAAGACUCAUACGGACUUCGGCUACACUAUCAAUGCUUUGAGAAGCAAAAAAGCUUGGUUAGUGUUUUGGAUUCAAAUAUAACUUGAUGUCAUGUGUAUGAGUGAGUAUAAAGACUAUAACCGCUACGGAUCUUAAAAGCCUAAGUAUUGUAUCCAUGUUAGAAGAUACAAAGACAAAUACUCAUAUGUACUUCGGGUAAACCAUCAAAGCUUUGAGUAGCAAAAAGAAGCUUGGUUAGUGUUUUUGAGUGAAAUAUGACUAGAUAUCAUGUGUAUGAGGGAGUAUAACAACUAGAACCGCAAUUAGAUUUUUAAAGCCUAAGUAUUGUAUCCUUGUUAGAAGAUACAAACACAAACACUCAUACGGACUUCGUCAACACCAUUAAAACUUUGAGAACCAAGAAGAAGCUUGGUUAGUGUUUUGGAGUCGAAUAUGACUUGAUGUGAUGUGUAUGAUUGAGUAUCGGAACUUAAACCGCAAACGGAUCUUAAAAGCCUAAGUAGUGUUUCCUUGUUAGAAGAUACAAAGCCAAAACCUCAUACGGACUUUAGUUACACCAUCAAUGCCUUGAGAAUCAAGAAGAAGCUUAGUUAGUGUUUUGGAGUCAAAUAUUAUUAGAUGUCAUGUGUAUGAGUGAGUAUGACAACUAGAACCAUAACCGGACCAUAAAAUCCUAAGUAUUGAAUCUUUUUAAGAAGAUACAAAGACAAAGACUCAUACGGACUUCGGCUACACUAUCAAUGCUUUGAGAAGCAAAAAAGCUUGGUUAGUGUUUUGGAUUCUAAUAUAACUUGAUGUCAUGUGUAUGAGUGAGUAUAAAGACUAUAACCGCUACGGAUCUUAAAAGCCUAAGUAUUGUAUCCAUGUUAGAAGAUACAAAGACAAAUACUCAUAUGUACUUCGGCUAAACCAUCAAAGCAUUGAGAAGCAAGAAGAAGCUUGGUUAGUGUUUUUGAGUGAAAUAUGACUAGAUGUCAUGUGUAUGAGGGAGUAUAACAACUAGAACCGCAAUUAGAUUUUUAAAGCCUAAGUAUUGUAUCCUUGUUAGAAGAUACAAACACAAACACUCAUACGGACUUCGUCAACACCAUUAAAACUUUGAGAACCAAGAAGAAGCUUGGUUAGUGUUUUGGAGUCGAAUAUGACUUGAUGUGAUGUGUAUGAUUGAGUAUCAGAACUUAAACCGCAAACGGAUCUUAAAAGCCUAAGUAGUGUUUCCUUGUUAGAAGAUACAAAGCCAAAACCUCAUACGGACUUUAGUUACACCAUCAAUGCCUUGAGAAUCAAGAAGAAGCUUAGUUAGUGUUUUGGAGUCAAAUAUUAUUAGAUGUCAUGUGUAUGAGUGAGUAUGACAACUAGAACCAUAACCGGACCAUAAAAUCCUAAGUAUUGAAUCUUUUUAAGAAGAUACAAAGACAAAGACUCAUACGGACUUCGGCUACACUAUCAAUGCUUUGAAAAG
rnacentral:sRNA from 1 species